GAGAGUUUGAUCCUGGCUCAGGAUGAACGCUAGCUACAGGCUUAACACAUGCAAGUCGAGGGGCAGCAUUUUAGUUUGCUUGCAAACUAAAGAUGGCGACCGGCGCACGGGUGAGUAACACGUAUCCAACCUGCCGAUAACUCGGGGAUAGCCUUUCGAAAGAAAGAUUAAUAUCCGAUAGUAUAUUAAAACCGCAUGGUUUUACUAUUAAAGAAUUUCGGUUAUCGAUGGGGAUGCGUUCCAUUAGUUUGUUGGCGGGGUAACGGCCCACCAAGACUACGAUGGAUAGGGGUUCUGAGAGGAAGGUCCCCCACAUUGGAACUGAGACACGGUCCAAACUCCUACGGGAGGCAGCAGUGAGGAAUAUUGGUCAAUGGACGAGAGUCUGAACCAGCCAAGUAGCGUGAAGGAUGACUGCCCUAUGGGUUGUAAACUUCUUUUAUAUGGGAAUAAAGUAUUCCACGUGUGGGAUUUUGUAUGUACCAUAUGAAUAAGGAUCGGCUAACUCCGUGCCAGCAGCCGCGGUAAUACGGAGGAUCCGAGCGUUAUCCGGACUUAUUGGGUUUAAAGGGAGCGUAGGUGGAUUGUUAAGUCAGUUGUGAAAGUUUGCGGCUCAACCGUAAAAUUGCAGUUGAAACUGGCAGUCUUGAGUACAGUAGAGGUGGGCGGAAUUCGUGGUGUAGCGGUGAAAUGCUUAGAUAUCACGAAGAACUCCGAUUGCGAAGGCAGCUCACUAGACUGCAACUGACACUGAUGCUCGAAAGUGUGGGUAUCAAACAGGAUUAGAUACCCUGGUAGUCCACACAGUAAACGAUGAAUACUCGCUGUUUGCGAUAUACAGUAAGCGGCCAAGCGAAAGCAUUAAGUAUUCCACCUGGGGAGUACGCCGGCAACGGUGAAACUCAAAGGAAUUGACGGGGGCCCGCACAAGCGGAGGAACAUGUGGUUUAAUUCGAUGAUACGCGAGGAACCUUACCCGGGCUUAAAUUGCAUUUGAAUAAUCUGGAAACAGGUUAGCCGCAAGGCAAAUGUGAAGGUGCUGCAUGGUUGUCGUCAGCUCGUGCCGUGAGGUGUCGGCUUAAGUGCCAUAACGAGCGCAACCCUUAUCUUUAGUUACUAACAGGUCAUGCUGAGGACUCUAGAGAGACUGCCGUCGUAAGAUGUGAGGAAGGUGGGGAUGACGUCAAAUCAGCACGGCCCUUACGUCCGGGGCUACACACGUGUUACAAUGGGGGGUACAGAAGGCAGCUACCUGGUGACAGGAUGCUAAUCCCAAAAACCUCUCUCAGUUCGGAUCGAAGUCUGCAACCCGACUUCGUGAAGCUGGAUUCGCUAGUAAUCGCGCAUCAGCCAUGGCGCGGUGAAUACGUUCCCGGGCCUUGUACACACCGCCCGUCAAGCCAUGAAAGCCGGGGGUACCUGAAGUACGUAACCGCAAGGAGCGUCCUAGGGUAAAACUGGUAAUUGGGGCUAAGUCGUAACAAGGUAGCCG
rnacentral:rRNA from 1 species